CUCAAUGGUGGGCCGGGCGGGGGCAUCGAAAGAUGCGCCGGUUUCCGAUAAGGCCGGUAAGACCAACUCCGUCCGGUUCACCACCACA
rfam:Trabulsiella guamensis ATCC 49490 GTGT.assembly.002, whole genome shotgun sequence.